GUGGACGUAGUUCAACUGGUUAGAGCGCCAGGUUGUGGUCCUGGAUGUUGCGGGUUCGAGUCCCGUCGCCCACCCCA
rnacentral:tRNA from 1 species